rnacentral:rRNA from 1 species
UCCGGUUGAUCCUGCCGGACCCGACUGCUAUCAGAGUGGGACUAAGCCAUGCGAGUUAGCGCAGCAAUGCGUGGCAUACGGCUCAGUAACACGUAGUCAACAUGCCCAGGGGACGUGGAUAACCUCGGGAAACUGAGGAUAAACCACGAUAGGCCAUGAUUUCUGGAAUGGAUCAUGGCUGAAACCUAUAUGGCCCCUGGAUUGGACUGCGGCCGAUCAGGCUGUUGGUGAGGUAAUGGCCCACCAAACCUGUAACCGGUACGGGCUCUGAGAGGAGGAGCCCGGAGAUGGGCACUGAGACAAGGGCCCAGGCCCUAUGGGGCGCAGCAGGCGCGAAACCUCUGCAAUAGGCGAAAGCUUGACAGGGUUACUCUGAGUGACGUCCGUUAAGGACGUCUUUUGGCACCUCUAAAAAUGGUGCAGAAUAAGGGGUGGGCAAGUCUGGUGUCAGCCGCCGCGGUAAUACCAGCACCCCGAGUGGUCGGGACGAUUAUUGGGCCUAAAGCAUCCGUAGCCGGUUCUGCAAGUCUUCCGUUAAAUCCACCUGCUCAACAGAUGGGCUGCGGAGGAUACUACAGGGCUAGGAGGCGGGAGAGGCAAGCGGUACUCAGUGGGUAGGGGUAAAAUCCUCUGAUCCACUGAAGACCACCAGUGGCGAAGGCGGCUUGCCAGAACGCGCUCGACGGUGAGGGAUGAAAGCUGGGGGAGCAAACCGGAUUAGAUACCCGGGUAGUCCCAGCUGUAAACGAUGCAGACUCGGUGAUGGGUUGGCUUUGAGCCAACCCAGUGCCGCAGGGAAGCCGUUAAGUCUGCCGCCUGGGGAGUACGGUCGCAAGACUGAAACUUAAAGGAAUUGGCGGGGGAGCACCACAAGGGGUGAAGCCUGCGGUUCAAUUGGAGUCAACGCCGGAAAUCUUACCGGGGGCGACAGCAGAGUGAAGGUCAAGCUGAAGACUUUACCAGACAAGCUGAGAGGAGGUGCAUGGCC